AGAGUUUGAUCAUGGCUCAGAACGAACGCUGGCGGCGUGGAUAAGACAUGCAAGUCGAGCGAGAUUUUUUCUUGUAGCAAUACGAGGAAAAGUCUAGCGGCGAACGGGUGCUUAACACGUGGGCAACCUGCCAUGAAGUGGGGGAUAGCUCGUCGAAAGGCGAAUUAAUACCGCAUGUGAUUAGAGUGGACAUCCAUUCAAAAUUAAAGUCGGGGCAACCUGACGCUUCUUGUGGGGCCCGCGGCCUAUCAGCUAGUUGGUGAGGUAACGGCCCACCAAGGCUUUGACGGGUAGCUGGUCUGAGAGGACGACCAGCCACACUGGGACUGAGACACGGCCCAGACACCUACGGGUGGCAGCAGUCGAGAAUUUUUGACAAUGGGGGAAACCCUGAUCGAGCGACGCCGCGUGGAGGAUGAAGGUCUUCGGAUUGUAAACUCCUGUCAUUGGGGAACAAUGCACAGAUAUUAACUGUAUUUGUGUUGAUAGUACCCGAAGAGGAAGGGACGGCUAACUCUGUGCCAGCAGCCGCGGUAAUACAGAGGUCCCAAGCGUUGUUCGGAUUCAUUGGGCGUAAAGGGUGCGUAGGCGGCGCGGUAAGUCGGGUGUGAAAUCUCGGGGCUUAACUCCGAAACUGCAUUCGAUACUGCCGUGCUUGAGGACUGGAGAGGAGACUGGAAUUUACGGUGUAGCGGUGAAAUGCGUAGAUAUCGUAAGGAAGACCAGUGGCGAAGGCGGGUCUCUGGACAGUUCCUGACGCUGAGGCACGAAGGUCAGGGGAGCAAACGGGAUUAGAUACCCNNGUAGUCC
rnacentral:rRNA from 1 species